GCUUCCUUGGCUCAGUUGGUAGAGCGUUGGUCUCAUAUAAUACUAUGACGCAAUCAUUAGAUAGCGACAUCCAAAGGUCGUGAGUUCGAGCCUCACAGGGAGCA